CCUACGGGAGGCUGCAGUGGGGAAUAUUUGACAAUGGGGGGAACCCUGAUCCAGCCAUGCCGCGUGUGUGAAGAAGGCCCUCGGGUUGUAAAGCACUUUCAGUGAGGAAGAACGCCUGGUGGUUAAUACCCAUCAGGAAAGACAUCACUCACAGAAGAAGCACCGGCUAACUCCGUGCCAGCAGCCGCGGUAAUACGGAGGGUGCGAGCGUUAAUCGGAAUUACUGGGCGUAAAGGGCGCGUAGGUGGCUUGAUAAGCCGGUUGUGAAAGCCCCGGGCUCAACCUGGGAACGGCAUCCGGAACUGUCAAGCUAGAGUGCAGGAGAGGAAGGUAGAAUUCCCGGUGUAGCGGUGAAAUGCGUAGAGAUCGGGAGGAAUACCAGUGGCGAAGGCGGCCUUCUGGACUGACACUGACACUGAGGUGCGAAAGCGUGGGUAGCAAACAGGAUUAGAUACCCUGGUAGUC
rnacentral:rRNA from 1 species